AUCGCUUCUUCGGCUUAUUAGCUAAGAUCAAAGUGUAGUAUCUGUUCUCACUACUGCCGGGCUCGGCCCAGUCCCCAAGGGGACAAAAUAAACAACAGUAUGUCUUCUAUGAGGAUUCUGCUCUAAGUGUUCCGUAUAGGACAACGGAUGAAUAUUUGUUAACAAUUCAAAAAGUGGAUUAGAAAUGUCAAA
rnacentral:snRNA from 1 species